rnacentral:rRNA from 1 species
AUUGAACGCUGGCGGCAUGCCUUACACAUGCAAGUCGAACGGUAACAGGUCUUCGGAUGCUGACGAGUGGCGAACGGGUGAGUAAUACAUCGGAACGUGCCUAGUAGUGGGGGAUAACUACUCGAAAGAGUGGCUAAUACCGCAUGAGAUCUACGGAUGAAAGCAGGGGAUCGCAAGACCUUGUGCUACUAGAGCGGCCGAUGGCAGAUUAGGUAGUUGGUGGGAUAAAAGCUUACCAAGCCGACGACCUGUAGCUGGUCUGAGAGGACGAUCAGCCACACUGGGACUGAGACACGGCCCAGACUCCUACGGGAGGCAGCAGUGGGGAAUUUUGGACAAUGGGCGCAAGCCUGAUCCAGCAAUGCCGCGUGCAGGAUGAAGGCCUUCGGGUUGUAAACUGCUUUCGUACGGAACGAAAAGCCCUGGGUUAAUACCCUGGGGUCAUGACGGUACCGUGAGAAUAAGCACCGGCUAACUACGUGCCAGCCGCCGCCGUAA